rfam:TPA: Bos taurus chromosome 3, whole genome shotgun sequence.
UCCUGGGUAGCUCAGUGGUAAAGAAUCUGCCUGUCAAUGCAGGAGACUCAGGUUCGAUCCCUGGGUCAGGAA